CCUCCUCCUCAGAAGCCAACACCUCCUCCUCCGUCUGUCCCGGCGGUUCUGUUUGUCACAGCUGUCCACGCAUUCCGCUUUGUGAAUAGGCAGUAUGUAAAGCAGGGUAAAGUUGGUGCUGCGGUUCUGGGAAACCAUGGAAACAAAGAGUAUAAGAUCCUGAUCUAUGGAAGCCAGCAGAAACAGCUAUCGACUGCCAGGAUCCACCC